UCCAGCACUGCGAUCCCUUUGUACUGUUGAGCCACUCACUCUCUGUUUUUCACAUUUCCAGCUUGUGCAGAUUUUUUCUCUCUAAACUCAAAUGUCUGCUGGGACUGGGAGUAGAAGGAAAGCUGUGGUUAAAGCCUUCUUCUGUCCAGCCCCAUUCCUUGAAUAAUUGGACGAAAAAGUAAUAAACUAUGAAGUCCCUCUUCCAACGGUCAGAGAAUCACAAAAUAAAUCGCGGUUAAUCUGUAGCGACAGAACUGUCCAUUUCUUCCAGGCAGAUGAAAUAUAAAAUAUGCAGUGAUGCUUAGAGCACUCGCUAAUUAUUUAAGAGGGAUUUUACACACAAAACACGUUUAAAAUUGAAAAGCUUCAAUAUUCUCGACCAGCUUUUCAUCUCCUGCUAACACUGAUCUGACAUCUCGGAGAAAGCUGACACUUCCCCAAGUCACUCCAGAAGCCGUGCAGCCAGGGACAUGCUUGGAAAAAGGGAAAAAAAAUAAUAAUGAAAGAAAGAAGCGACACCAACAAAAAAAUAUUUCCUGAGCCUUGCAGGCAUCUCACAGGAAAUCUGGCGUGUGGGAUUACUGGACAAAUACAAUACAUAAACACCACCUUGUGUGUGGUAAAUUCAUCUUUAUUGCAAGCAGCUUUCCAAAUCGGGUGGGAAUAGCAAGAAAAUGCCAGAGAGACUGAAAAGGCACAAGUCAGUUCCUGAAAAGGGCUCUCGCAUCCUUCCAUCUGACUCCCAGUGAGAGAACAUCCUGAAGAAGGAAUCCAAUUCACCUGUGGUAUCACAAGCUUUGACAAGCCUUUCUCUUCCCUCACAGAAACCAUCUUCCAUGGUCAACCUUCCCCUGCUGAGUAUAGUGAGGAUCACUAUAUAUAUAUAUAUAGCGAGGAUCAGGACACAAGCAGGAUGGUUAUAGGACUUGGGUCGGACAGCUCUGUUUUAACCCAACUUUUCAGCCCUAAUUAGGCUGAAUGAGAUGAGCUUCGGGACGGGCCCCCAGCACAUUGAAGUGGAGAACAAAUUCCAAGACACUUCCUGCCAAGACAGACCAGUGCAUUUGGAUUUUGUUUUCGCUUAUCAUCUUCUGUUGUAACAUAACACCAUUGCAACUCCAUCUGUGAUUGCGGUGCUGGGAACACAAUAGCAAACAGAACGCUUGCAGCUAGAAGCAUCUAUCGGGUUUCAGCUUCUCAAAGUCCUGCCUGUGAGCUACCCUGUCAUUACAGGAGUCAGAAAUGGGAAAGGAAGAUUGGGCAGUGGCUAUACUGUGUGCUUUGGUGUAUGUUGGUACACUUAUUGCUGCCUAUAACUACCUGAAGUGUGGGGAGCUGGGGGUUGGCCUCUUCUCAUAGGUGGCAGGGGUAGGACAUGGGAAUGGCCUCAAGUUGUGCCAGGGGAGGUUCAGGUUGGCAAUGAGGAGACAUUUCUGCUCAGAAAGAGCAGUCAGGUGUUGGGACGGGUUGCCCAGGGAGGUGGUGGAGUCACCGUCCCUGGGGGUGCUCAAGGAGAGGCUGGAUGUGGUGCUUGGGGACAUGGUUUGGUGGUGACAUUGGUGGUAGGGGAUGUUGGACCAGAUGAUUUUGGAGGGCUACAGGUAAACCUGUGGCAGCCAAGGGACGAACUGUGCCCCCGUGAAGGCAGAGCUUGAGGGAGAGAUGCUUAACGCGCUUUAACCACUGAGGCAGCGUCGGGACCUCCUUUAAGGCAGCAGCCGCUCCUUCAACACUCGCACGAGCCUUUUCCAAGCAGGCUGUGCACCUUUCUCCUCCAGCAGCCUGCCCACACGGCUUAGCCGACGGCUCCCCCAGGCGCUGAGCCCCCACCUCAGGGCUCCUCAGGGCUCCUAACGGUCCCCCCCGCUCCGCCAACCGCCGCCCCGGCUGACGUCACCGAGCCGGCUGGAAAUAGCUCCCCGUCCUCCCAGCCUCCCGGAUACAGCGCUCCCCAUUGGCCGGCUCCCCUCAGCCAAUGGGCUGCGCCGCGCCGCGCUCUCCACCAAUGGGAGCGCCGCCGGCGCCGCGCCCCUCCCCUGUCGCUAAGGGAGGGAAAUACAGCGCGCGGGGCGCGCGGCGGGCAGGACUUCUUGGAUGAUUCGGGAAUAAGCACCGGGAAGGGUCGGUGCUUUCCAGGGGAGGAAGACGCAAGGCAGCAAGGCCCCGGUUCCCUGCCAUCUUGAGCCUUUCCUGCUGAUCUGCUGCAGCACAGAUAAGUAUAAAGCACUGAGGGACUGAAGUCAGUGUUUAAACCCGACUUCGUUUCAGUGUAAAUGACCACACGAGGCGGAGAUCAGCAGAGAAGCAGGGGUAAAAGAGCAGAGAUGUUUCAGGUGCCUCUUCUGAAAGUACACUUUCGAGUAUUUAGUGAUUAGUGAGGUUUUUAGAAAAGACUUCUCUCCACAUGUGUUUAUGUUUACGUGUCCUAACAGAAGGUGACGCGUUACCUUAUGUGCCAGAUAUGCUUUGGAUGGAUCUGUAUCACCGUACUGAUUUCAGGGGAGCUGUAUCGAUACGAGUUAGUGAAGAAACUAACCCGGCUAAGUUUAAAAUAACUGGAAUAACAUCCUCCAUCUCUUUCAGUCAGAUUUGUCCUUCAUGUUACUUGUGUUUCAUAAUCCUGUAGCUCUCCAUUUCAUCAGUACAAGACCAGGAUCUCUAUUGUAAAAAAUGAGCAGGGAAAAAGAAGAAAGAAAAAAAAAAACAACACCUCAAAAGGCAGUCUUUUUACUUUCCAAUCUUUAUUUUCAUGUUUAAAUAAAUUUGGGGCACAAGCUCAUCCUAUUUUUUUUUUAAUGGGCAAAUUUAGCGUCGUUCUCUUACACUGAUAUUUUAUAAAGCCAGAAGGUCUCAGAAGGAGAAUGUGUUCAGUGCACCAGAACCCGUUAGGGCUCUGAUAAAAGACACGAUAUCAUGAGUAACAUUUCCACUUCUGUUAUUCUUCUUAUAUAGUACCGACAAGAUUGAAUCACCAUUUUUAGCUAUUCUUCAGCAGAACUCGUAAUCUAUCAAUGUGUCAGCUCAACAGCAGUUUUCCCUUCACACUAAUGUGAACCAGAAGGUCCAGAUAUCACUGAUUUUGACAAUUUUAUUUUAUCUGAGAUUGCAUAUACUGCAGAACCUUGAAGAAAAUGAAUUAUAGAACCUAUUAUGUUUUCCUAAAGAUGCACGAGACAUAAAACAAGUCCUCUAAAACAUUUUACACUCGUUUGUGCAGGAUCACAUUCCUCAGUUAGGCAUUUGAUAAGCAUUAGGCUAUAAGCACUGUAAAAUAACAAGUGGAAGAUCAAACGUGGGUCCCGUAUCUUUUUAAAUGUCUCCCAUUGCCCUCUGUGUUGUUACAUAAUGCAUCAUAAAGAAAUACGUGCCUUCAUUCUCUUUAAAUCGCUCGGGCAUGGGUAGUGCUAAGCCUCCCUUCAAGUCCUUGUUAUGCAAGUCCUUGCUACUGUUAAUAGCUGUCAGCUCUGCGUGCUUACUUAAAAAACAAGGUAACUGCAGACUUUUCGGGAAGCUCAUUGCAUUUCUGGAGUUCACAAUGAGUCAGUUCCAGGUGCUUCGCUCCCUUCCUCAUCUAUAAAUUAAAUUAUUACGAAAAAAAAAGGUUUUUCCUCAUGAGAAGAAAGUCCCAUUCAUUCCACUGUAUCACAACAUAAUCUGCUUUUUCUCCAGUUGCAUCUAUAAGCAUAUUACGAGUAUCUGAAUACACUUCUGCAGUGUCAAAACACAAGUGGAAUAGACCAGAACAGAAGAAUAUUUUUGAAAGUCCGUCAAAAAAUGCAGACACAUAGCUAAGUACUGAAAAAAUACCUAGGAUAGUAAAAAUCCACGACCAAUUUUAACAAAGUUAAAAGAUACCAAAUAAUAUUACUUAGUGCCUAUAUGGGUUACGUAAAGUAAAAUCUGCAUUACACAGUAUAAGCAGCAUUCAAAUGAAAUUGAUGAGACAUCUGUAAAGAGCAGAAAGACUCAUUUUUAGAGCUAGGAUUUUUCGAUGUUCUGUCUCUUUACUUGGGAAGUGGAAUUUUCCUUGUUUUGGAAAGGCAUAAAAUUAACAACAAGCACUUUAAAGAAUUAGGUGCAUUGCCUGGUAUUUAUUUUUUUUCCCUCUAUCAAGCAUAGAUCAGUUGUGGAAGAAAAUCAGGAGAAACGUAGCUGCAUUUGCCGAUAUCAUAGAGAUCUUUCCAAGUAGCCUCUCCUUUAACAAGGCCUCGGUUUUAAAGAUACUGAAAUAGGAAUAUCUCAAUAUUCAUAAAACUGACUACAUAAAGAAAAAUUCUGCUCUGGGUUUAUAGUUGUAUAAGUAAGCAAGUAGUAAUUCAGUGUAGUGUCACCAGAAAAGGAGGGUUCUGUUUCAUAUGCUGUUGAUCUAUUCAUUUAACAAUCCUAUAUUGCAUUUUUACUUUUUUUUUUUCCCUUUUGUUGCUCUUGAAAAUUUGGGGCUCUAGAUUAUUUGCUUAUUUCCCUUCUAGUAGUAAUAAUUUUAAAAGGUCCAACUAUGUUCUAUUCAGUUUUUGGUACAACAUGUGGAAAAUAAUAUUUUUUAUUCCUUUUGUAAACAGUAGGUUGGGGAAGAGGUCUGCACUACAAAAUGGUAUACCUACAAAAUUGUGCUCGAGUGGGAGAUUAAAUAAGAAAGAACAGAAUAGCUGAGACGAGUCAUUUGUCACAGAUGUUCGUGCAGUUCCGUGUUUUGUUUUAAGCUGGAUUCAUCAAACAUACCAAGGAGUAAUUUAUGUCUGAUGCAAAGUUUUCAUCCACGGAGACGAAGUAGGUUAAGUUUAAACUGUCAUUUGAAAAUACAGGGAAAUGCUACGGACACACGCAAGAAAGUAAAUUGGAGAAUGCUAUUUUGGCAGUGUCUUAAUUCAGUAUUAAGAGGCAAAAUGUAUCAGAAUUAAAUUGGUGUAGAACAUAGUUACUUCAGUUACAAAAUGCUUUUGUCUCCUAAGCACAAAUAUUUUACCAUAAAUGCUUGAAUUCUAUAGAUUAUAAAGGGCACCUAAUCAGGAAACGUUGAUGUGAUCAUGUCUGAUGUUGAAGUGGCAUAUACUGCUUUUACAAUAUUUCAUAAAUUUAUUACAUACAUUUAGUAAUUAAACUUAGAGAAAACAAACAAGAUAAGCACUAGCACAUUUUUUUCCCUUUUUUGAGAUGGGUUGAUUAUCAUAUUUAAUAAAAUAGAACACAAAUGGGAAGGCCCAGGACUCAGAUUAGUUCAAAAAGGGAAUUUUAAAAAAUGAGUAUCAAACUCAUUCUUAGUUCCUUAUUAGUUGCUAUCUCUUUUAAUACGAUUUUCCCUUUUGUAAGUUUCUUCCUGUCUCUCCUCCCUCUUAAAUUCUAUGCUCCUGCCCCAAAAGGGAAAAACAUAAUGGCUACAAUCAACUUCUGCUUAUCGGAGCAAAAUGAUUUUUUUUCCUCAAACAAAAAUACAUGCCUUAAUUUGCUAGAUUUCCAGCAAUUUUUACAUACGUUAUUUCUGAGAAUGAGGAUACUCACUUUAUGCAGCUCACUACAGUGUAGUAGCUGUAAUCUAGCAUUUUUCUCUUUUGUAACCAGAUAGUCAGAAUUGACAGCCUUUUUGCUUGUAAGUGCCUGAAAACUGACUUGGUAACGCUAUUUUUAAUACAAUAAAUUUGGCAUUUCAGGCUGCACUUCCUUUUUUAGUUUUCUAAGUAAAUGUUGACCAGACCGAUUAUCAGAAAAAUCAAGGCUUACAUAAUCAAGCCAUACAUUUUUAUACUCUUCUUUCCCUUCCCCCACAUUAGCCUUCAUUUUUCUCUGAAAAAUGAACAUUUUCAGUUAGAAAAUUACUAUGGCAUACUAAUGAUACACACACUUUCAUGAGACUGCACAACUAAGCUAUUUGUAUGAAUUCAGUAAAAGAAGGCAGUAAACAAAAUACUAAAACCUCGAGAUAGCUAACCUUUAAAAUUACAGUAAUUAUUAAAUACAGCAUUAUCUAGUGUGAUGUACCUGGCUGUGUGCCUUUGAGUCUCACUUCUUUGCUUGGAGAAACAGGGUACUUCUAUUUAUUCCUUAGUCAGAAUAAUAAAAAUAAGAACAUCCUACCCCAUUUUUGUUUUACUCACCGUAAAGCUGAUGCUCCUUCAUAAAAGCGAUGUUUUUUUUAUUCAGCUUUCCGAGGAUGUUAAAUGGUUGCUGUGGAAAAAGUGUGUAGCAAAUGAAUUGAAACUCUGUCCUGCUAAAAUAAUUACAAAUUGAAUUAAUUACAAAGAAUAAUAUUAAAAUUUUAUCUAAAUAUGCUAACAUGAGCUGCUGCCCAUAGGUGGCAGUCAGCCUUCACAGUCGUAGGGAUGCCAAACUUUUGGUUCACGGUAUUCAUGCUUAUGCUGAAAUAAAUGUGAUGGGGUAUGCGUAUGUGCACGUACAGAACUAUUUAAAUGUCUGUUCUGGGAGAGGGGGAAGGAAAUAAAAUGUUAAAAUGAAUUAUUAAUUAGGAGCAAUCCUAAUUACUAUAUAUAAGCAAAAUAAAUUCUCAUUUCCUGGAGAAAAGAUCUAAGUAAAAACACAAACCUAAAAGAAGCAGUAAUAAUUCAGAAACAAGCAGGUGCCCCUACAAAUUGAGUAGAAAGGCAAGUAUCUUGCCAGCCUUAGACAGCGUGACCUCAUCCUAUGCCUGGUCCUCUGAACUACAUUUCUAUUUCAUAGUCCAUUGUCUGCAAAUUACAGAAGUGCUGCAGUGAUGACAUUCUGUCCUAGAAAUCCCAGCAACACUCUCCUGUAAGCAUACAGCAGCUACAGAAAAGGAUAUAGGAACGAGUGUGGCCUUUCUGCCGUGGAGAGCUGGUCAACCUGUGGCCUGUGAUUCUCAUUUCUCUUCGCAGAGCUUCCGUUGACACCCACGGCAGCACUGCACAAGGGGAGGAUGCUGCCAAGGAGAGCAGAGAUCCACUCAAUUUUGCCCUCAGCUUUUUUAGGGCUUUAUGUGGUUUCUGAGGAUUUCCUUUUGCAAUAUAACUAAGGAGGCACUUGGGACCCCACCAAAACUGGAGGGGAUAGAAGGAGCUAAUAAGGCCAAGUUGUCUCAGUCUAAAACAAACAGAGCUGGUGAAACUACUUGUGACAUACUAAGGCUAUAGAGCUCUCGUGAGAAAAGAAGACUGAAAACUAAAAUGCCUGAGUAGAUAAAGUCAUAUUCUUUUUACUAUUACAGCUACGCUGGGAUUCUUUUCAGUUAAGAUUAAUCUAAUUUUGUGUCAAGGUAGUCCACUGUAUCCAUUUAGCUCAAGCCAGGAACUGGCAUCUUACAAAAUGGAAAAUUUGAAAACUACACCAGGAUUUGUUGCUACAGGAAUGCUGUAUUGUGAUGCAAGAUUAAGGGCUCAGAAUCGAACGGAAUGGUGCAGCAUUAUUAAAACAGAAGGCCUAAUUCUCCUUAUGCAAGAGUAGCAACUACAGGCAUCGUUGUAUAAGGCGAAGCUUUCAGUGUGAUUUCGUAGUCAAACAGGGUAUUUCCACAUACAUGCAACCACUACAUGACUAAUUAGAUACUUGCAUAUGCGCAGCCCCAUUUGUUCCCCAACUAUAAUAAUUAUGAGAAUUGCACUUCACGUUAAUUUACACUCUUGUGUAACACAAUUGAAUGCAAGAUAGCAGGUGGUGAUAAACUGGCUGGUGGCAAAUGUGUUAAUUUGAUAUGCAUGUGGAAAUUCAAAGCUUUCAGACUCGGUUCUGAUCCUGACAUAGAGAAGACUGGGGAAGACCUCCUCCGCCAUUGGCUCUGAUCCCAGCUGUUGUGGACAGCCAUGUUGUGCCAUGCAAGUUAUUUGCAGAGGUAUCGAACUCCAUCUUGAAAGUACCCUUGUCGUAAGGUUGCUCCUAAUUUCCAUUCCUCUAAAUGGUUAAAGAUUUCUAAUAACGUGUAGUCAAAGCCAGCUGACACCCUCAUGUUCUGUAAACGUCUUUGACUUCAGUUUAAAUAGCCUUUCUCUCUCCCUAAGUAAAAAGUCCCUUCCAAUCUGUCACCUCUUGAGCUUUCAUGGAUUACUUGCUUUUCAUAGAUUACUCCCCAAACCUACUCAGCCUUGGUUCUGCCAAAAUAACUGUGCUAUACCUGUCACAGAAGAGGAUGCCUUUUCCCCAGCCAUUUUUCUAACCUUUCUUUGUACCUUUUCCACUUCAGUAAAUCUUUUAUCAACAUGCUGGAUUAGAAGCAUGCACAGUAUUCCAGGUAAGAUCUCAUCAGGACCUUUCGUGGUGGCAUUAACACCUUCCUAGCCCUGCUAGAAAUACAGCAGCUAAUAUUUUGAUAUUUUAACUUUUUUGAUUCUUUGCAGAGCUGCAUGCUACCAAUAUCUCACAAGCCUUGAGGAUUUAAUGAGACACCUAGCUUACCUUUUUUUUACGGAUGCUGAUAGUAAAGUUCUUGUUACUCAUUCCAAGGUUAUGACCUUGACCUUUACACUAUUACAAUGGCAUUGCAUGAGAAGGGUGUCAAAAAGCUUUUUACAAGAAGGGUGUCAUCAGUUUCAUCCAAGCCCCAGGCUUCCUGUGAGUUUUCUGGCAUGCCCAGAUUUGUUCAGGAAUCUCUACGCUUUGCACGACUAUAGACGUGAGCUGGUGCACGCACCUGAUAUGGUGCAGGACUAGAGAUGAACCAGCCUGGCUCAUGAAACAGAGUUCUCUUGAGUAUUGCAAUACCUCAAGCACAUCACAGGAUGUUAUUCCAGGUAAGUUUUCAGAAAGAAGUACACUGCUCCUGACUUAGUGUCCUACACUGGCUUCAUUUGACAGCUCUGGGAGCAAGAGACCAAAUUUGGAAGUAUUUUUCCAGGAUCAACAGAGGCAGACUUAGUGUCACAUUGUAUUGCUUCUAUUGAUCUAGUAGUUUAAUCUCCAGUUUGCAGAUUAUGUCUGUAAGAUUGAAGGGAGAUCAGGAUGCACAAGGGCUGAGUGGCACUCACAAAUAACUUGUAAAAACAAGAAUUAGAUUAUGCUGGAGGAUUUGGGUUGUUGUGUUUCUGCAAGUUAAGUAACGUUAUGAUUGUCUCUAAUUAAACAAAUAAAAAACAGUUUUUCUUGCCUCUCUUUGUCUUCCCAUGUAACUUGCUGUAUGAAAUUUUUCUUGUGGCAUUUUUUCGAGCAAUUUUAUUUGAUACAUUUCUGUGCCUGCAGCACAGCUAAGAAACGUGACCAGUGGGGUUUAUCUUUAUGGUGAAAAUACCAUACCUGAGAGCUUUUGCUCAGUUCGGUGUGUGCCAGGUUCCAGGAUAUUGAAUCAAGCCCAUCAUGUAAAAUGAAUUUUGUGCCCUUUGUUACAUGAAAUUUCAGUCCUCCUUUGUGCUAACAGUAUCCCAGCUUGGUGUCAUCAGCUGAUCGUAUGCUUAAUUCCUUGGUUAAGGUACUCCACAAAAAUAAUUAAUACAAUCUGUCUGGGAUUGUUCUGUAAGUAAGUCCACUAGUAACCUUUCCUUAGCCUGAGAGUUCCCCUUCAAAACAACUUCGCAGGCUUAUAUUCAGAGUUUAUUUAGUAAUUGCUGUCUUCCUUAGCUUAAUUCUUUUUUGUUUGGUUGGUUGGUUGUGUUUUUUUUGUUGUUGUUUGUUCGUUUGUUUUUCAAGUAGUGUACUAGCAAAUAUUUUCCUGAAUUCCAGUAAGAUGAGGCUUACUCAUUUCCUUGAUUUAGAAAAGUGGUGUUUUGUGUUUUUUCUUGUUGAUGUUGUUUUUGUUUUAAUUUAUCUGUUUUUUGUUUUUUUUUGUGUGUGUGUGGCUAUUGUGGCAUAAUCUACUCUUAGGAAAGCUUUAUGGCAUUUUUUUAAUUUUCCAUUUAUUCCAUUCCUUGCUUCCUAUUCCUGUGCUUCCUUGUGUCUGAUUUCUUGGUGGGUGGUCCCAUUUUUUUCCAAUAUUUUAAUCAGCAGCUCUGCUUGUUUUUAAAAUCCUAUUUGAGUUGGCUGCUUUUCUACUUGGAUCCAAAGACCAAUCUAAAAAUUUUCCCACUCAGGAAUUAAGAAAGUGGGAACAGAACUAAUUUUUUUUUUUUUUUUUGUCAUUUCACCCCCAUGUAAGUGAUUCACAGAGAUGUUGUUGAAGUAAUGGAUUUUCCUGGAGUUUUUAGAAUGUAACUGAGAAGGCCACAAAAAUCAGAGCCUCUAAAUCCUGCCAUUUGCUAUUCCAGGAUUUUUGUACUUCUAGGCUAGCUGAGGGCUAAUCAUAUCUUGACAAUUUUAUAAAGUCUUAAAAAGAAAAUGAGCAGAACUAAACAGCUUCAGUAAGGUUGCUUCAAGUUAAAAGACAACUUCUAAAAACCUUAAGUUACCUUGAAAUGCUCUGACCCUUAUUUGCACCCGUCUUCCCCUCUGUUAUCCUUCCAGAUCACAUCUAUUAAUAAUUGUGAAGCUGUUGUUGCAGUGGCACGCUGAAAAUCGUUAGUCAGCAGGAGAGAGCCUUACCACCAGAACUGCGACACGCACAUGCAAAACACUGGGUAAAAGAUGUGGUGGCAGGCUGUUGACAUGGUUUCCUAGAUGAGGCAAUCAGGAGUUCCUUGAUGAUCAGGGUUAGUUAGUGCUGUGAUUAAUGACCCUCACGAACAGCAUCAGCUGCACUGCUGAAAUCUGCCAACAGCACAUGAGGUGCGAGUUGCUGUCAGUCCAUUGUGAGUGGACGGCUGUGUAAUAAAAGCAGGUAAAUGUAUUUAAAAAGCACACUAAGGAACUAGUAAGUGUUUCAGCUACAGAUGGGAGAUCACGAGCUGGACUCUACAACAUGGACAUGAAUGUCUGAGAAGGUCAUGGGAUGACCCGUAGGCCACUGGUGUGAUGCAGCUGGGAAAGAAGCAAACACAGGUCUUGCUUAUAACAAAUGAGGGGUUUCCAGUACAACCGCAGCUUUCCUGACCACAUCUCAUCUGCGGCAGCAUCUUGUUCUGGUCACCUGUGCUCAGGAAAUGGGAAACGGCCAGAAGUAGAAAGAGCUGCUCAGGACAACAAGGAGGUUGUUUUGUGAGAAGUUGUUUAAAAGGAUUACAUUCAUUAACCUAGUAAAAGAAAGAGGGGAUGGUUUUAAAAAAAAACGCGUGAGAGGUAAACAAAGAUGGGAAAAGAGCUAGUUGCUACUCAGGCAGCAUAACAAUGAGUAAAAUUGAAACUAGGUGGGUUUUAGUUCUGAGAGUAAGGUUGCUCUAAGAACAGCUUCUCAAUUGGAAUAAUAUUCACAGAAACUGCAUUUAAAUCAAGACCAAGUCCUCUUAGGUCUAGUGAAUAGGAUUAUUUGCCCUGGUAGAGCUUUGCGAUGAUCUUCCUAUUCUCUUUCUGUUCUAUUUAGGGUUGCAUUACAAACUCCCUUUGCCCCAAAGAGCUCUCCCUCUCCGACCCACAGCUUUUCUCUCCUGUGCCGCUCAGGUACCUGUGGAAAACUGAGGCCAGCGAGAAAGCAGAUCCUUCACAGGACACGAAGAGUGAUUGUGGAACUGGUGUUCUGCCAACAGGUCUGCCAUAUGUAUGAUGAAUGCUAACAUUUUUCACCGCUGUAAGGCAGCAGCAAGCAUUUUUAAGCACAAUGAUCAAUUUUGUUCUCUAGCAUCUAGUUGAACAUCAGUAAAUACGUUAUUAAGAGGCUUGACAGUGUGCUCCUUUGCAAUCAAGGCCAAGAUGUAGCCAGAUACUCAUCUUAAUCUCUCCAGGCACAUUUCUAAUGAAUUUUUACAGUGCCUGGAACAAAGGUCCCUGGUUUGAAGGGGGACACCUGGAUGAUAAAAGCAAAUUAGAAUAAAUAAUACAUUAGGUUUACGAUGGCAAAUUGUCAUCUAAAGACAGUGGUAAAAGCUCGUAGUAUAGGCUCCUGCUAGAAUCCUAUUAACAAAAUUGCUUGCUUUAAAUCACUCUCAAGGCUUAAGGUAGGGCGUUCUCUUGUAGGCAAUCUUGAAUAUUUGUAUUUAACUCCAUGUUUAUGUUCUAGCAAGUAACUACUCAAUACUGAGAGGAACUGUAUUUUGAAAUAACUCCAUUGUAUUGCGCUAUUUUUGUUGUCAUUCCAUCCCAUAAAGUUACAGAUAAACUUCCACAUGUACUCAGCAGAAAUAUAGGACAAGGGCAAGGCUUUAUACCUGCUGCAGAGUUGCAUCCAGGGAGGAAGGAAAUACUAACCUAGGAUGUCUGCCGUCUCCUUGACUACUCAGCCCUCUACUUCUCGGAGGGAUCAGUCGCUACUUCUACAAUGUCAACUUUAUGAUCUUCUGUUUGCUGAAGUACCUUUGACAGGAGUAUGAUUAUCCCCAUCUUUAUUUUUGUGAUUCUUUUGAGUUUCUUACAGAACCUGAGAAGUUCACUGAGUUCUACCAUAUAUGAAGGUCAAACACGGCAACGUAUGCUACAGAAUCGGAUUUUGGGUUUCAUUGAAAUUCCCAUUUCUAGUCAACCUCAGUUCACUACUAAAGCAUUUUGGUUCCCUUUGUUAAACAGAUUUCCGUGUUCUUUUUAAAUGAUUGAAACGUCAGUGGAAUCCUGGCCUCAUUGCAGCACUGCAAAACAUGCAGACAGCCACACUGAAACGAGGGCCGAAGUUGUUGGAAACUCACAUGAAAGCAGUUUGGGCUGUGGAGUUGGCUUAGUGCAGCCUUCCCAACUGUGUACUUCAUGUAAGUGUAACUCAUAUGGAAAAAAAAUAAAAAUAAAAUAAAAAGCCCCACAUUUGUCACACUUGUACAAUGUAACCACAAAGCUUUUGAUUAAUAAUAAAAAAGACUGAAUUAAGAACUUUAA